rnacentral:rRNA from 1 species
UAUUGGUCAAUGGCCGAGAGGCUGAACCAGCCAAGUCGCGUGAGGGAUGACUGCCCUAUGGGUUGUAAACCUCUUUUAUAAGGGAAGAAUAAUUACCACGUGUGAUAUGAUGCCUGUACCUUAUGAAUAAGCAUCGGCUAACUCCGUGCCAGCAGCCGCGGUAAUACGGAGGAUGCGAGCGUUAUCCGGAUUUAUUGGGUUUAAAGGGUGCGUAGGCGGCAUGUUAAGUUAGUGGUAAAAUGUCGGAGCUAAACUCCGGAUCGCCAUUAAUACUGUCAUGCUCGAGUACAGACGAGGUAGGCGGAAUAAGUUAAGUAGCGGUGAAAUGCAUAGAUAUAACUUAGAACUCCGAUCGCGAAGGCAGCUUACCAGACUGUAACUGACGCUGAAGCACGAGAGCGUGGGUAGCAAACAGGA